CAGUCUUAUGGAUUUUCACAGUAUGAUGAUUGCAUGUCAUCUUGAGUCGAAUGUUUGAAGUCAAGGUUAUGUUGUUUGGUCUUCUUAGUGUCAAAUUAUCUGUUCUUAACCUUUUUAUCAAAAUGAUUCUGAUUGGAUUCCUCAUUUUCAACAUGCUACAUAUUUCUUUUCUUCUUGUUCUUUUCUCGAUUGUUUUCAUCCCCAAUUGGAGCCUGGCUAGUGCCAUACCAUCUCAACAUAAGAAUAGAGCAUACGAGCUAUUUUUUUGUUUGUCACUAUGUGAUGACUGCUCUCAAGAC
rnacentral:lncRNA from 1 species